UACGGGGGGGGCAAGCGUUGUUCGGAAUUACUGGGCGUAAAGGGCUCGUAGGCGGCCAACUAAGUCAGACGUGAAAUCCCCAGGCUCAACCUGGGAACUGCGUCUGAUACUGGAUGGCUUGAAUCCGGGAGAGGGAUGCGGAAUUCCAGGUGUAGCGGUGAAAUGCGUAGAUAUCUGGAGGAACACCGGUGGCGAAGGCGGCAUCCUGGACCAAUUCUGACGCUGAGGAGCGAAAGCCAGGGGAGCAAACGGG
rnacentral:rRNA from 1 species